GAUUGUUUAGCUAACUGAAGGCGCCCGUUUUGAAAGCGGGAGAAAGAGGUUCAUACCCUCUAAUGAUCU
rnacentral:tRNA from 1 species